rnacentral:rRNA from 1 species
AUUUCAUCGAUGUCAACUGGUUGUUAGACGGCCUGCUGCUCAGUCACGAAGCUAACGCGUGAAGUUGACCGCCUGGGGAGUUCGGCCGCAAGGUUGAAACUCAAAGGAAUUGACGGGGACCCGCACAAGCGGUGGAUGAUGUGGUUUAAUUCGAUGCAACGCGAAAAACCUUACCUACCCUUGACAUGCUAGGAAUUCUGCAGAGAUGUGGAAGUGCUCGAAAGAGAACCUAGACACAGGUGCUGCAUGGCCGUCGUCAGCUCGUGUCGUGAGAUGUUGGGUUAAGUCCCGCAACGAGCGCAACCCUUGUCAUUAGUUGCUACGAAAGGGCACUCUAAUGAGACUGCCGGUGACAAACCGGAGGAAGGCGGGACGACGAA